AUUGAACGCUGGCGGCAGGCCUAACACAUGCAAGUCGAGCGGAGCGGCGGAAGGGGGAGGAAUGCCUAGGAAUCUGCCUGGGAGUGGGGGAGAACGUCCGGGAAGGGGAGCUAAUGCCGCAUACGAGCAGAUGAGCAUAGGGGGGAUUAGCUAGUUGGUGGGGUAAAGGCCUACCAAGGCGACGAUCCGUAACUGGUCUGAGAGGAUGAUCAGUCACACUGGAACUGAGACACGGUCCAGACUCCUACGGGAGGCAGCAGUGGGGAAUAUUGGACAAUGGGCGAAAGCCUGAUCCAGCCAUGCCGCGUGUGUGAAGAAGGUCUUCGGAUUGUAAAGCUCUUUAAGUUGGAAGGCGUUACCAACAGAAUAAGCACCGGCUAACUUCGUGCCAGCAGCCGCGGUAAUUC
rnacentral:rRNA from 1 species